rfam:Triticum aestivum genome assembly, contig: Triticum_aestivum_CS42_TGACv1_scaffold_439186_5DL
AUUCUACUCCCUCCAUCCCAAAAUUCGUGUCUUAGAUUUGUCUAGAUACAGAUGUAUCUAAUACUAAAACAUGACUUGAUACAUCCGUAUUUAGACAAAUCUAAGACAAGAAUUUUGAGAGGGAGUAUUUG